UACGGAGGGUGCAAGCGUUAUCCGGAUUCACUGGGUUUAAAGGGUGCGUAGGUGGAUUAGUAAGUCAGUGGUGAAAUCUCCGGGCUUAACCCGGAAACUGCCAUUGAUACUAUCUGUCUUGAAUAUCCUGGAGGUGAGCGGAAUAUGUCAUGUAGCGGUGAAAUGCUUAGAUAUGACAUAGAACACCAAUUGCGAAGGCAGCUCACUACGGGAUUAUUGACACUGAGGCACGAAAGCGUGGGGAUCAAACAGG
rnacentral:rRNA from 1 species